rnacentral:misc_RNA from 1 species
GAUGAAGAACGCAUCGAAAUGCGAUAAGUAAUGUGAAUUGCAGAAUUCAGUGAAUCAUCGAAUCUUUGAACGCAUCUUGCGCUCCUUGGUAUUCCUUGGAGCAUGCCUGUUUGAGUAUCAUGAGCAAAUCUCAAAGUCAAUUCCUUUUGUUGAUUCAAUUGGUUUUGCUUUGGACUUGGAGGCCUUGCAGAUUUCACAGUCUGCUCCUCUUAAAUGCAUUAGCUGGAUCUCAGUAAUUAUGCUUGGUUCCACUCGGCGUGAUAAGUAUCACUCGCUGAGGACACUGUUAAAAAGGUGGCCAGGAAAAUACUGAUUGAACCGCUUCUAACGGUCUAUUAAGUUAGACAAUUACCCUUAAGUUUGAUCUCAAAUCAGGUAGGACUACCCGCUGAACUUAAGCAUAUCAAUAAGCGGAGGA